rnacentral:rRNA from 1 species
AGAGUUUGAUCCUGGCUCAGGAUGAACGCUAGCGGCAGGCUUAACACAUGCAAGUCGAGGGAUCCAGCAAUGGAGACCGGCAAACGGGUGCGGAACACGUACGCAAUCUGCCUCUGUCUGGGGUAUAGCCCAGUGAAAACUGGAUUAAUCCCCCAUAGUAUAAUUGAGUGGCAUCAUUUGAUUAUUAAAACUCCGGUGGA